UAUAAAUUUAAAUGCUUAGUGAUAUAUAAAAAAGAAGAUGUGGUAUGAUUGUCAAUAUGGACUUUGCUCGUUGUUGAAGGGUUGUACACUGACCUAUAGUUGUUAAUGUCUGUGUCAUUUAAGUCUCUUGUGGAUAGUUGUCGCAUUAGGCCAAUGGGACAACUGUCCACAAGAGACCAAAAUGACCAAUGAGACAAGAGACCAAAAUGACUGGGACAUUAAAUAACAACUAUAUAGGUCACCAUACAGCCUUCAACAAUGAGCAAAGCCCAUACCGCAUAGUCAGCUAUAACAGGCCCCGAUUAGACAAUGUAAAACAAUUCAAAAGAGAAAACUUAAGAUAUGUGCAUUGUUCAUAUUAUUGUUUAUAUGAAGAUUAAUAAGAUUAAAGUAAACAAUGUGGUAUGUUUCCAAAAUAAAAGCUAUCCAACAAUGACAAACUGAUGUCGAUGCAAUUACUAGCCAUACAAAUGAUAGAUACAUUUUGGUCACCAUACUUCCUUCAUUUAUAUUAUGACUAUUGAGUAAAUUUUUGCAAACAUUUCAAACCUGUACAUGUACAUGUACAUGCUGUUUAUGUACAUAGUACUACAGUUCAGUGACUCAAGUUUAAAAUGCAUAAGCUUAAGGUCAUAACAGAAUUUAAACUUACUAUCAUAUUUGUAUAAACAUCAUGAUGAAUAUUUACAUUCUCUAAAAGAGUUUUAAUUUUACUUAACUAAUACAGAAGAUGAUGGAUUCCCCAACAGAAAUCUUGAUGACGGAUCAAGGUGAAAAAAUUGAAGAAUUGCAUCAAUAGUUACAGAGAAUCGAUUUGCACGCAGAAACAGGUGCUCAAAGAUAAGGGAAUACAACAGCCAUCCAUGCUCCUUCCAUGUAAAGUAAGCAGCUUUCCCUGAUGCUUAUAGGCAUACACGAUCUAGUCUGGGCAUGUAAAACAGCAGCUGGUUCUAUUUUGAAAAUCUACAAAAUAGAGCUAAGGUCCUUUAAGCCAGGAAACUGCUAGUAUCUGAAGAGGACAAUUUAAGACAGGCCAUGAAAAUUGAUUAAAUGUCAAGUGGGAACAGUGAUUUUGUAAAUAAACUCGCCUGAUCACAAAACUUCAGGUUUGACUGUCACAAGAUUUUAAAUCUUACAUGGAUAGACUAAAGUCAUUUACUAGACUGUAAAUACUAGAGACAGCUGAAUGCACAAGGCAAAAAGCUGAGGUCUAAGUGAAUCAGAGAGGCCUUGUCACAAGAAAUGUACAGAACUUGCAUGGUUUUUUUUCCUUAAGGGCAUAUGACAAAAAAAUUGAGAGAUGUCAAUGAAAAUUUCUUUGAAUUUAAAAAAGGGCCAAUUCAAAGGUACACUUUUGGAAUUUGCAAGAACAAAAAUACCUUCAUGUUUACUUUUGAAUUAUAGUUGACAAUCUUCGCUUUGAGGGGAACCUCUGAAAAUAAGUCAAAUGGAGGGGUUUGCCAGGUUUAUUGAAAUCGAUUAUUUUUUAAAGUAAAACAGAUGAAUUAUUGCUCUUUAAUUUCAA